rnacentral:rRNA from 1 species
GACGAACGCUGGCGGCGUGCUUAACACAUGCAAGUCGAACGGCAAGGCCCUGCUUUUGUGGGGUGCUCGAGUGGCGAACGGGUGAGUAACACGUGAGUAACCUGCCCUUGACUUUGGGAUAACUUCAGGAAACUGGGGCUAAUACCGGAUAGGAGCUCCUGCUGCAUGGUGGGGGUUGGAAAGUUUCUGCGGUUGUGGAUGGACUCGCGGCUUAUCAGCUUGUUGGUGGGGUAGUGGCUUACCAACGAUUUGAAGGGUAGCCGGCCUGGGAGGGUGACCGGCCACAUUGGUACUGAGAUACGGCCCAGACUCCAACGGGAGGCAGCAGGGGGGAAUAUUGCACAAUGGUCGCGAGCGUGAUGCAGCAACGCCGCGUGCGGGAUGACGGCCUUCGGGUUGUAAACCGCUUUCGCCUGUUACGAAGCGUGAGUGACGGUAAUGGGUAAAGAAGCACCGGCUAACUACGUG